AUAAGACGUGAGCGGUGGUUAAAAACUCCAAACUCUUAUACUCCAAUUUUCGUAACAUAUUUUGCUACCUCAAUGUGGAAUAAUGUUUGUUUCAAAAACUGAAUCUACUGAAGGAAGAACAUGUCCAUUAUGCCAAACGAAGCCUGCAUGUUAUCUUCAUUAUACCUGAUUCAGAAUGAUUGACUAAGCUUUUUAUUAAGGAAUGAAAAUCACUUGAUGUCAAUGAUGUUAUGCUCAGUGAUACAAUGUGCUGCUUUCUCUUCCUUAACCUUCCCAAAUGAUAAAAAUAACUUUUAGACUAAGAAUUCAAGCUUAUUGUGUUCUGUGAUUUAUUUCUCCAUGUAACAUACUGAUUAAAGAAAUGAUUUUUAAUGCAAUCUGCAUGAGCAAUCUUCCAUGUUGGACCUGUUCAGUGGGUCAUUGCUGAAAAAGUGCCUUCCUUUAAAAAAUUUAUUUAAAAUGUAUUUGUUUUGAUUAAAAAAAUGACUUUCUUUGAAUGCGUAUUUUUUGACAUGGGGGAUUGUUUACACAGAUUGCAAUCUGCGUGAACAAUCUCCCAUGUUGGACAGUUCGUGUUCAGAGGGUCAUUGGUGAAAUAUUGCUUUUCUUUAAAAUUUUCAUUGAAAUACUAUGCUAGCCAAAUAAGUGCAAAAAUAAUAAUUCACAAUUCAAAUCAUGUUUAAUUUUAAGUAUGCCUUGCUUUAAAAUUUUUCUUUUAAAAUAUUAAUGUUAAUUUAAGAAAUGACUUUCUUCAAUGUGCAAAAAUAAUAAUUCACAAUUCAAAUCAUGUUUAAUUUAUUAAGUAUGCCUUGCUUUAAAAUUUCUCUUUUAAAAUAUUAAUGUUAAUUUAAGGAAUGACUUUCUUUGAAUGCGUGUUUUCUGACAUGGGGGAUUGUUUACACAGAUUGCAAUCCAUGUGAACAAUCUCCCAUGUUGGAAUGUUCAUGUUCAGAGGGUCAUUGCUGAAUUUUAAAUGUUUCAUUAAAAUAUUGCUAGCCAAACAAAUGCAAAAAUAAUGCUCCUCAAUCCAAAUCUUGUUAAAUUUAUUAAAUAUGCCUUUCUUUAAAAUUUUACUUUUAAAUAUAUUAAUUUUGAUUAAAGAAAUGACUUUCUUUGAAUGCGUAUUU